CCCACGAUGGCCGAGAAUAUAGGCACUAAGCUUUUAACUUAGCCACAGUAACACACUUCGUAGGU
rnacentral:tRNA from 1 species